rnacentral:rRNA from 1 species
GGGAUAACACUUAGAAAUAGGUGCUAAUACCGCAUAAGCGCACGGUUCCGCAUGGAACAGUGUGAAAAACUCCGGUGGUAUACGAUGGAUCCGCGUCUGAUUAGCCAGUUGGCGGGGUAACGGCCCACCAAAGCGACGAUCAGUAGCCGGCCUGAGAGGGUGAACGGCCACAUUGGGACUGAGACACGGCCCAAACUCCUACGGGAGGCAGCAGUGGGGAAUAUUGCACAAUGGGGGAAACCCUGAUGCAGCGACGCCGCGUGAGUGAAGAAGUAUUUCGGUACGUAAAGCUCUAUCAGCAGGGAAGAAAAAAAGUCCUUUGGACUUUGGACGGUACCUGACCAAGAAGCCCCGGCUAACUACGUGCCAGCAGCCGCGGUAAUACGUAGGGGGCAAGCGUUAUCCGGAUUUACUGGGUGUAAAGGGAGCGUAGACGGCAGCGCAAGUCUGGAGUGAAAUGCCGGGGCCCAACCCCGGAACUGCUUUGGAAACUGUGCAGCUCGAGUGCAGGAGAGGUAAGCGGAAUUCCUAGUGUAGCGGUGAAAUGCGUAGAUAUUAGGAGGAACACCAGUGGCGAAGGCGGCUUACUGGACUGUAACUGACGUUGAGGCUCGAAAGCGUGGGGAGCAAACAGGAUUAGAUACCCUGGUAGUCCACGCCGUAAACGAUGAUUACUAGGUGUCGGGGGGCCAAGGCCCUUCGGUGCCGCCG